GGUGAUAUUGCUGGGCCAUAUGGUAACUUUAUAUAGAACUGUUUGAAACUGCCAAGCUAUUUUCCACAAUGAUGGAACCAUGUUACAUCCCCACCAGCAUU
rnacentral:pre_miRNA from 1 species